rnacentral:rRNA from 1 species
GCUGGCGGCGUGCCUAACACAUGCAAGUCGAGCGAGAAAGUGGAGCAAUCCAUGAGUAAAGCGGCGACCGGGUGAGUAACACGUGACUAACCUACCUCCGAGUGGGGAAUAACUCCGGGAAACCGGGGCUAAUACCGCAUAACAUCGCAAGAUCAAAGCAGCAAUGCGCUUGGAGAGGGGGUCGCGGCUGAUUAGCUAGUUGGCGGGGUAACGGCCCACCAAGGCGAAGAUCGGUAUCCGGCCUGAGAGGGCGCACGGACACACUGGAACUGAAACACGGUCCAGACUCCUACGGGAGGCAGCAGUGGGGAAUUUUGCGCAAUGGGGGAAACCCUGACGCAGCAACGCCGCGUGGAGGAUGAAGCCCCUUGGGGCGUAAACUCCUUUCGACCAAGACGAUAAUGACGGUACUGGUGGAAGAAGCACCGGCUAACUCUGUGCCAGCAGCCGCGGUAAUACAGAGGGUGCGAGCGUUGUUCGGAAUUAUUGGGCGUAAAGGGCGCGUAGGCGGUGCCACAAGUCACUUGUGAAAUCCCCGGGCUUAACUC